UACGGGGGGAGCAAGCGUUGUUCGGAUUUACUGGGCGUAAAGGGCGCGUAGGCGGCCACCGCAAGUCGACUGUGAAAUCUCCGGGCUUAACCCGGAAAGGUCAGCCGAUACUGCGGGGCUAGAGUGCAGAAGGGGCAACUGGAAUUCCCGGUGUAGAGGUGAAAUUCGUAGAUAUCGGGAGGAACACCAGUGGCGAAGGCGGCGACCUGGACAGAUAUUGACGCUGAGGCACGAAAGCGUGGGGAGCAAACAGG
rnacentral:rRNA from 1 species